rnacentral:misc_RNA from 1 species
GUGUAGAGUUAAUUGUAGAAAGCAAGACGAGUUCUCAAGUAAACAGCAUAUGAUUCACUUAAUCCUACAUGUUUUAUUCCAAACUAUGAGACAAAAGAAAGUAAAAUAUCGAUAUCUAAUGCAUGGAAGGAACAUGCAGAUUUUGGUGGAAGAGGGAGGAGAUGAAAAUAACAUGUGAAGUGAAUAGCUGUGAGGAAAACAACCUGAGAUAGCUGU